rnacentral:sRNA from 1 species
AAUGGCCACUACUCCGGCUAUCACCGUGAGUGGUUCCUUCAUUUUCGGUCAGGUGACUAUGCCAGCAUCUUGUACGUGGACAUCACCGCUGAUGAUCCCGCUCACCGAGAAGCGAUCAGAGAUGCCCUGAAGGCGAUUCACCUACCUGGGGAAGAGACCGAAAGUGGAUUCCGAGUCUUCGGCUACGGCCAGAAGGGCCAAACCUUAGAAUACCUCUGACCUAAGGCCACCCUUAGCUGGCAGGUGCCGCAAGCAUGGCGAUCUGCCCUCUCGCGAUCACUGGCGGCUGGUUGGCUGCAUCGACGAUCGCUCGGACAUCAGCA